ensembl:snoRNA
GGCACUAGUAUGUGGUCAAAGAUUUAUAGACAGGUGCAAAAAAUAAAUCCUCUUUUGCAACUCAAAAUACAUUGUUCAGUAUGUUUUAAUACAUUUAAAAAGGAAUAUU